rnacentral:rRNA from 1 species
UUGAAAGGGAAACGAUUGAAGUCAGUCGUACCUAUGGGUAAUCAGCCUUUUGGGUGUGAUUUUGUGGAGCGUGAGGAGUUAAACGCCUUCAUGCCUGCAUAUUCGUGCACUUUGGGUGUACUUGCCCGUGUGUAAGUUAACAUCAAUUUUGGUGGUCAUAAAAUGGCUGGAGGAAUGUAGCUUCGAUCUUGUAUUGAAGUGUUAUAGCCUUCGGUAGAUGUGACGAUCGGGAUUGAGGAUUGCAACGGAUACCCUUCGGGGCUACCUGUCUGAUCUCUGAUUGUUGCUCUGGUGCCGAAAGCUUGCUUACGGUUAUCAAAGUCGAUGGUCAAUAGGUUAGAAUGGGUUAAAUUCGUUAAGGAUGUUGACGUAA